rnacentral:lncRNA from 1 species
GGCCAAGCAAGGAAGAGAGGGAAAGAAAGGAAGAACAAACCCUAGGUGAGGAAUUUCAAGAGAAAAAGUGUGAAAAAUCAAGGAAAACAAGUGAAAAAGGUAGGAUUUUUCAACUUAAGCUUGAAAUCUAUUUUCCUUAAGCAUUUCUCCUUAUUUUCCAUGCUUAAAUUACAUGUUUUUAUAAUGAAUUGUUGGCUGAUCAAAAUGGGUUAGGAGAGAAAAAGUUGUUAGAUUAAUUUGAUUUUAAGUUAUGUUAGUGUUUUGAGUUAGUUUAGCAUAUAUAGAAACAAAACAAUAAGAAAAGAAUUUAUUUUCUCCCACAACCAUUAAUGGCCGAAUUUACCAUGUAUGAGUGAGGAUGAGUUUGAUUUUUAUUCUAGGAGAAUUGGUUAAGAAAUGAUGAAUUAUGAGCCUAGAAAAAUAAUGGGAAUUUUCGGAACAAAAAUACGAAUUUUUACCCACUAGGGGUAUUUUCGUAAUUUACUGUCGAGACUGAUAAUUUGCGCCACACUGAGGAACAUUAAGUCAAUUUGGGUGAAAUUGAGGUAUAGAAACUGAAAAAAAUUAAUUUGGGAUUAAAUUGGACGCGUUAGUAAUUUAAUCGGGUGAUAAGACGAAUUAGGCCAAUACCGAGUUUAGAUAGUUAUCAAUGCAUUUUUGCAUUCCAUAUUAUGCAUUAAUAGUCUAAAUUAGUUUAAUUUCAAUUUAGUACCAAUGUAGUGAAUUUCUCAAUUUUGUACUGUGUCAAGGUGGUGAGUCCUCCGAUAAAGGUAAGGAAAUUGCAUCCGAGGACCAGUAGACAGAGUGCGUCGAAAGUCUGCAUUCUAGACAUUGUGAGUAAACUUACUGUCAUUUUAAUUAUCUAGGGUAGUUUUUAGGGGAUUUCAUGAAUUCUAUGGAAAAUGGAAUUUAAAAAGGUAAAUUUUCAUGUUUUAUGAAUAAAUGUGUUUCAAUGAAAUUAAAUUAUAAAUUGUUUUGAAAUUAAUAAUGAUUUUGAAAAAUAGAGUACACGGAGACUAUUAAUUGUGGCAAUUUGAUUGUUUAAAUUGAUUGGCUUAUGAUAAAUCGGGCAUGAUUGGCUAGUUGGCAAUUGUAUUGAAAUACAAAUUGUUUGGUUAUCUUGAAAGAUUGCGAAUUACAAAAUUGCCAUCUCAUGUUAUUGAGUUUUAUUGUAUGGUGGAUUAUAUAUUAAUUAAUCACUGCAAUAGGGAGUUUCUGUGGAUCAGCCUUUUAGAGGGGUAUAGUAAACCCCAUUAUAUUCUUACCUCGAAUGGAGAGGCGUGUAAGGUAUCUCCUAGGGUAAAGUUUAGAGUUCACUUCACGCUAAACCACCACGUGAGGGGGAACUCAGCCAACGCCAAGGAACGGCUAUGUUUUCAAAACAAAAACAUGAUUUAUGUGAAAUGUGAAUUUUAAUAGCCUUGGCGGUCUCGAUAAGAUGCCUAGGCCAAGGUGUCCCUGAGAAUGGAUUUAUGGCACAAGUCUAGUUUUUAUGAAAUUCAUAAGCCUCUUUACAUAUUUUAAAUGAAAUGUAUUCUAAUGCUAUGACCCAGUUUACGAUGAUUUAUUUUAUUAUCUCCAUGUACUCAACUCUAGAUAUUUAUGAUGAUGUAUGUUUACUCAUUGGGAUUUUAUAAUCUCACCACCCUCCUUUCCACCCAUUUCAGGUUCAGUAUAGGCUGUAGAUAGCUGAUCUCAUCGAGGACUACCGUUGGAUCUGCAUUUUCCAAACCGUAAGUUCACAGUCCUCUUUACUUUUGU